AGGGUUGUAGCUCAGUGGUAGAGUGCAUGCUUAGCAUGCAUGAAGUCCUGGGUUCAAUCCCCAGUACCUCCA
rnacentral:tRNA from 1 species